AGUAGGCACCAUUUCUCAUCUGAUCACUGAAGUUAAGCAAUGUUGAGCUUGGUGAGUAUCUUGAUGGGUGACUGCUUGGAAAUACCAGGAUAUGC